GGGAGGAUGUACCCUGUGAGCUCUAGUUUGAGAACUGUAGAAGCCCCAGAUGUUAGAAGUCAGGGAUGCUGAGACUCCAGAGGAUGCUCAAGGAGUGAUAGAGCUGCACUGACUGAGGAGCCCAGACACCCUGGAGAUGCUGCAUCAGGAACAGGUGCUCUCACUUCCUAUCCAUCCCAAAUGCCAUUGUCAGUACUCCAGCCAACCUCGCCUGUGCCAUUUUUCAGGGAAGAAAAUGGCACAGGCUCAUCCACCAGACGGAUGGGGUGGAAACAGAAUUCCUGAGCACUAGGCUAAGGAGGAGCUGGGAUCCCAUUUGUGAGCGAAGAGAAGUAUGUUGAUAUAUGUCAGUUCUAGCCUCCAGUCCUGCAACUGUUCCCAGGUCUCCGUCCGAUGGAGCUCCACUGUCUCCAGGGAGCAGAGACAGAGAUGGGAGAAGAUGGAGCACGGGAAUUGCUGCUCUCUGUGACACUUUCCUUGGCCCUGCUCCUGGAUUUCAAGAUGGGAGAUGUUAUAGCUCAGAGCUGUAUUACUUCCAUCUGGAUCUUGUCUGUGGUGCUAUUCUACAGCCAGAGUGGGACUCAGUUAAUGGAUUAGGGUAGAGAGUCAGUCUAUGGCUACACUAGCUGAGCCACUGUAAGCUCUCUGCUGACAUAGCACUGUCUGCACCGACACUUAAAUUGGCAUAAGUUAUGUCGCUCGAGGGUGGCUAAUUCACACCCCUGAGCGACAUAACUUAUGUCGACUUACGCUGUCGUGUAGCCAUAGCCUAAGGAAUAGUCUAUUUCCUAUGGACAUGUGUGGUGUGGUACAAAUAUUGUUUUAUUCAAAUUCGUAACCCAGGUAUUACAGCAGGGAGGUCCGCCAGCUUUUUGCUCCCUCGAUGCUAAUUAGUAGCUUAUGGCCAGUAUUAAAUAUGGUACUUCAUGAACCAUAAAUUCCUAAAAGGAAACUCUCUCACAUUCCCUGAGUCUCUUUCUCAAGCCAGCCCAGCCUUGAUAUAACUAAGAGCAAUGCCAGUACCAAGCCCUGAAGCAAUAAAUAAGCUUGUUCAUUACAAGUCUGGUGCUUAAUAAUUAUUACACAUAGAACUAACAGUGGCAGUAAGCUGUUCUAGCCAGUUCUGUCUAGGUUUGAAGCUCUGCCAGCUCCAUGUAGGGAUAC